GCUUUAAAGAUCAAUGUAUUUAAAUUAAUAAUGAAAUUUAAUUAACUACUCAUUGCUCUCGGCAGCACGCAAACUAGUGAUGUGAACUUAAACAGGUGUGACUGUACGCUGCCCCUUGCAAUGGCCAUAAUUAUUACGCAGCAAGCUUUUUGAUCUUGCGAGCUUAUUAAUUAAAGGCUUGAAAUGCAACCCCAUCACAGAGAAUGUGGAAUGAAUCCGACCCUACGAGCAAUUAAUAACAUAAAAAUUAUUGAAUUUUCCCUGUGUGGAUAGAGAACUAAAUGCUCAAUGCUCAGUUCAGUGAGGUCAUUUACUUCGAAGGAGGUGCAUUAUAGUGAGGCUCUCUUAAUGGCUAACAUGAAGAGGCCCAUCGAUUUCAUUGGAAGAAGUGGUCUUUUACUUAUUAAGUUUUGGUCCAUGCUUACAUCGUGCAAAAUCGGAAUACCAGCAAGGGCAACAGAGAUUCUACUGGCGACUCAGUUCUACGGGUCAGUCAUUGGUAUCGUCAGUGUAGGAGCAGUGCAUCCAGCACCUCGAAAAUUUUUCUCGAAAUACUGGCUGCUAAUGGUCCGCUUUGCAAUACAUGGGAGACUGUUGGCCUCCUUCUACCUAUCCAUCCCCCUGCUCAGGGAGCUCCUCACUUUUCAGCCAGAGCAGUUUUUGAAGUUCACCAAAAAACUUCAACUAGAACUGAAAAAGUAAUUUCUCUUUUUAUUUCUGUUUAGAAUAUAUUGUUUAUUUGCAUUUCUAAUUUUUUUCAGUGUUGGGGCAAGAAGGUGGAGAAACACAAUCUAUAUUUUUACGUUUGUAGCACUUUCAUUUACAGAGGCUUUCCUAUAUCUUAAAAAAUAUGCAAAUAAUCCGCAAAUCGCGGGCACGUUUCAUUUAAUACCACUUCCCAUUGCUAUAAUUUUUGUUAUCACUUCAGCCAUACUUACUGCAACUAUUUUCACCGUUGAAGUCUCUUUCUUUAUUUUCUCAAAUUUCUUUCUUGAAUACAUACUGGCCUUAAUGAACCACCUCCGAUUCGCUGUUGAAAACGUACACUUGCGUACUCGACUUGAAUUGUCAGCUGAAUUCUGGCCCAGCGAAUUUCAGGGCAACGUCUUUGACAUACGUUACUUGACCGAAUUCCACAACUACAUCAUUCAGUAUUUAAUUUACCAAGUUAUCAGCUGGAAAUAAACAUUUACUCGAUUGCAGGUUCGUUAAGAAGUUCAUGAACGCCAGAUAUUUCACUAUGUAUUUCUUAACUCUGUAUAUGAGGAAGCUAGUAAUGGUCAGCACACUUAUUGCGAGGGUGAUCAGCAAGGUUGUAGAAGUUGAAAGCUCGCCGGUUUUUAUUUUAAUCAUCGGGAUGCAAAUAUUUACUUUGGCUACCUAUUGUUAUCACGGAACUUUAAUCACUGCCAAGAAUGUUGACAUAAACCGAAUGAUUCAGUACAAAAUGGCAAACCCUGGAGAAGGUGUUGAUCUUGACCAUCCUGAUUUAAAGGGUUUGUCAGUUUUAGAGGCUCGCACCAGUUUGGAUUUUUCCCUUGAUCUCGACAGCAAUUUCCCCCUCAAACUGAACACGAGCAGCCUCACAAGAGUAACUUAUUUGUUAAUUUGCAUAGAUGGUUGCUAACGGUAAUUUUUUUCAGGUUUUUAGCUUCACAGUUUUAAUCUUAAUUUUGUUUUUGACCUUCGGCCCCUAGAAGGCGAGAAAAACGAAUCCUGAGUUAAUCAUUAAUCAUUGUUUAAAAAUAAUUCGAUGUGGUUGCGUAGCCUUAUAUUCAAUGGUCUAAAAAGAAUAUAUAAUUUUUUUGCUGCAGCGCAACGAUUGAAUUCAUAAUUUGCCUGUCAAGUAUUUUGAAACGCAUUCACAAAGUCAAAUACACUUACUAUAUUGUAUUAAUUAGAGCCAAAAAUUGCCUGCCACAGUCAGUAUCAGUGCAUUGGAAUAGUGUCAAUUUCAUAAUUCGCUAUUGACGAAAUUCUACGUGUAAAUGUUAAUUAUUACCUAAAAUUAAACAGUAUUGGAAUUUUUGUGCCCGUAAAAAUUAAUCCUAGCUGUGGAGUUGUGGCUAUUAUAAUUGUGCGAUGAAAUGUCUAUUAUAAAAAAAUUAUUCGAGAUAUUGAA